rnacentral:rRNA from 1 species
GACGAACGCUGGCGGCGUGCUUAACACAUGCAAGUCGAACGGGUCUGCCCUGUUUUUUGCGGGGUGGGUCAGUGGCGAACGGGUGAGUAACACGUGAGUAACCUGCCCCUCACUUCUGGAUAACCGCUUGAAAGGGUGGCUAAUACGGGGUGUUCUGGCUGUGCCGCAUGGUGUGGCUGGGAAAGAGUCACUUUUGUGGUGUUUUGGUGGGGGAUGGGCUCGCGGCCUAUCAGCUUGUUGGUGGGGUGAUGGCCUGCCAAGGCUUUGACGGGUAGCCGGCCUGAGAGGGUGGGCGGUCACACUGGGACUGAGCUACGGCCCAGACUCCUGCGGGAGGCAGCAGUGGGGGGUAUUGCACAAUGGGCGGAAGCCUGAUGCAGCGACGUCGCGUGAGGGAUGGAGGCCUUCGGGUUGUGAACCUCUUUCGCCGGUGAAGAAGGUCCUGCUCUUUGUGGUGGGGUUGACGGUAGCCGGGUUAUGAAGCGCCGGCUAACUACGUG